rnacentral:rRNA from 1 species
AACAGGAUUAGAUACCCGGGUAGUCCAUGCCGUAAACGAUGAGUGCUAAGUGUUGGAGGGUUUCCGCCCUUCAGUGCUGCAGCUAACGCAUUAAGCACUCCGCCUGGGGAGUACGACCGCAAGGUUGAAACUCAAAGGAAUUGACGGGGGCCCGCACAAGCGGUGGAGCAUGUGGUUUAAUUCGAUGCUACGCGAAGAACCUUACCAGGUCUUGACAUCUUCUGCCAACCUAAGAGAUUAGGCGUUCCCUUCGGGGACAGAAUGACAGGUGGUGCAUGGUUGUCGUCAGCUCGUGUCGUGAGAUGUUGGGUUAAGUCCCGCAACGAGCGCAACCCUUAUUGUUAGUUGCCAGCAUUUAGUUGGGCACUCUAGCAAGACUGCCGGUGACAAACCGGAGGAAGGUGGGGAUGACGUCAAAUCAUCAUGCCCCUUAUGACCUGGGCUACACACGUGCUACAAUGGACGGUACAACGAGUCGCGAAACCGCGAGGUCAAGCUAAUCUCUUAAAGCCGUUCUCAGUUCGGAUUGUAGGCUGCAACUCNCCUACAUGAAGUUGGAAUCGCUAGUAAUCGUGGNUCAGCAUGCC